rnacentral:lncRNA from 1 species
AAGCAACAUCUCAACCUUAGUGUUUUAUAUACUUCUUUUCUUUUACAUAUAACCCAGUUGAUGAACUUCAGGUACACGGUAGAAACACUCCAAAUGUUGCUGCUACCAAUGGCCAAAAAUGGUGUAGAAGCUCUAGGAUCCAUGGGAAACGAUACCCCUCUCGCUGUUAUGUCAAACAGAGAGAAGCUGCCUUUUGAUUAUUUCAAGCAAAUGUUUGCUCAGGUUACAAACCCACCAAUCGACCCAAUUAGAGAAAAAAUUGUCACAUCCAUGGAGUGUAUGAUUGGUCCAGAAGGUGACUUAUCUGAAACAACAGAACAUCAGUGUCAUCGACUGAAACUUCAAGGUCCUUUACUGCAUAUAGAUGAAAUGGAGGCUAUUAAAAAUAUGAACUUUCGUGGUUGGCGCAGCAAGGUUCUUGACAUAACUUAUCCUAAAGAGUAUGGAAGGGAAGGUUUAGAACAAACUUUGGAUAAACUCUGUGAUCAAGCUCGUGAAGCUAUUCAUGAGGGAUACACCAUUCUAGUUCUCUCUGAUAGAGGUUAGUUCAGUUCAUAAUACAGAAGUACUGUCCUGGCCACUCAACAGGCAUGAAUUAAAUUGUCCAUCAAAGCUAUAUUUAUCUUUAUGGGCAAUGGGCAUCAAUAUUACUAUGAUUGGCAUAUUGUUCAUGCAUGUCAAUAGAAAGUUAGAAACUGCUGGAAGAUCUAUUUUAUUUUGUAUUACUAUUUACUGCAGCAUAGAGCACCAUGGGUAAUUAAAUUUCCUUGGAGCAAAGGUUAAGAAUAAUUAACUUUCUCUAUUAUUUUUCAUCACAGCAUGUAAAGAGAUAAAUUUUUUGAAUUACUCCCUUAUUCUAAGUUCAUCUAAAUCCUACUCCCUUAUUCUAAGUUCAUCUAAAUUCUACUCCCUUAUUCUAAGCAGUCUGCUUUCAUCUUUUCCCAACGCUUGAUACUCACAACACACUUGAUUUAUAUGAUUUUGUGCUAUGCAUCUCAAUGCUUGAUUCUGUAAAAUUACUUGUCAUAUACUCUCUAGCAUUUGGAGGUUUAAAAUGUCAGGUUUGAACUAUUUUUCCAUACAGGUUUCUCUCCAGAUCGUGUAGCUGUCAGUUCUCUAUUGGCAGUUGGAGCUGUCCAUCAGCAUCUUGUCUUGAAUCUUGAGAGGACACGCAUAGGGUUGCUUGUUGAUUCAGCUGAACCUCGUGAAGUGCACCAUUUCUGUAGCCUUCUUGGAUUUGGUGCAGAUGCUAUAUGCCCUUAUUUGGCUAUUGAAGCCAUAUGGCGGUUACAGAUUGAUGAGAAAAUACCUCUUCAAGAUGACGGACAGCUGUAUCCAAAGGAACUUAUUGACAAGUAUUUCUAUGCUUCUAACAAUGGAAUAAUGAAGGUUCUUGCAAAGAUGGGGAUUUCCACCCUGGCGUCGUACAAAGGUGCCCAGAUAUUUGAGGCCCUUGGUCUUGCUUCAGAAGUGGUCAGUAAGUGUUUUGAAGGUACACCUAGUAGAGUUGAGGGCUCAACAUUUGAAAUGCUUGCACAAGAUGCACUUCAUCUCCAUGAGUUGGCAUUCCCGUCAAGAACUUUACCACCUGGAAGUGCAGAAGCAAACUCUCUUCCCAACCCGGGAGAUCAUCACUGGAGGAAAAAUGGAGAAGUACACCUUAAUGAUCCUUUUUCUAUUGCAAAAUUACAGGAAGCAGCUAGACUCGACAGCAGGGAAGCAUACAAAGAAUAUUCUAGAUACACUCAGGAGCUGAAUAAGUCUUGUACUCUGCGUGGUAUGCUGAAGUUUAGAGAAACUCCAGUCAGGAUUUCCUUGGAUGAGGUUGAACCUGCAAGUGAAAUAGUCAAGAGAUUUUGUACUGGAGCAAUGAGUUAUGGAUCCAUUUCCUUGGAAGCUCAUACAACGAUGGCUAAGGCUCAGAAUAUAAUGGGAGCAAAAUCUAAUACAGGUAUUUUCCACCAUGGACGAUAAUGACCACCCUAACCAUUCUUAUGAAUACCAUAUAUGUUUAGGCAAAAUUGAUGUUCUUAAAUGCCAAUGAACUAGAAAAAUUCAACCUACCGGGGUAAGACAUCCCAUGAGUAUUUUGUUAAGAAGACCUCACACAAGUUGAGAAACCCCCUAAACCCUUGCCCCACACCCAUCCAUAUUGACAUCGUAGCCCAUGUAAGAAUGGUCAUGGCCUUAGGCCGGACCUUAGGCCUGAGCUUUGACAUAUGGGAGACGAAAUGCCAAGUGAACUAUAUGUUGAUUACUUUAUUCUUGGCCUUUUUCUAUGUCACAUGCCAUUUGAGGCACAGCAAACAGGUUGAAGUUGUUUCAUAACCCUUGUUCACUGCAUUUUGUAUGUUAUGAUGUUUAAAUUUCUUCUUGCAACCAUGUGCCUUAUUUUAUCUAUGAUUUGCUCAUCAUAGUUAUUCGCUUCAAGUAUAAUUGCUAAUUGGUUACUAUACCCUCCCCCCCGGAAGGGAGGUGAGAACAUUGGCACAUAAUAUAUCAGAAGAAAAAUAGUUGGCCAAGUUUUUAUGAAAAAAAGCAGGGCCCAAAAACCGAACAACUGAAAAUUGGCCCAGUUUUCAAGAAAAAGAAUUGACCCAGCAUUGCUGCAUAAUUGCCAAGUACAGUUGGUAACUAGUUCCAUUUCAUAUGCUAACUGGGAUGCAUAUAUAUGAUACGAAGGCGAGGGAGGAGAACAAUCGUCUCGCAUGGAGCCUCUUCCUGAUGGUUCCAUGAAUCCAUUGAUGAGUGCGAUCAAGCAGGUUGCAAGUGGAAGAUUCGGAGUUUCUAUUGAUUAUCUGUCAAAUGCUAUUGAGCUGCAGAUAAAAAUGGCUCAGGUAUAUUUGACUACACUAUACACCUGCUUGAAGUACCUAAGCACCAUGGGGAACCUCUUCCCUGAAUUGCUCGAAAGAACAACUUGGUUCUGCAUCACUAUGUACUAUGCUUGAUUUGUUGUACCUAAUCCUACAACAUAUGCUGGUUAUUUGUCAUGUUGAAGAAAUUUAUAUCUUUUACAGGGUGCUAAACCUGGUGAAGGGGGCGAGCUCCCAAGUCAUAAGGUCAUCGGCGACAUUGCAAUUACAAGACAUUCUACAGCUGGCGUAGGACUCAUCAGCCCACCUCCUCACCAUGAUAUAUAUUCUAUUGAGGAUCUCGCACAACUUAUCUAUGACCUUAAGGUAUGCUCUCAUGAUGAUUUUUUUUCUUUUCCAGGAGUCUUGCUAUAUAUGCUUAUGACUAUCUUUUUAAAGAUUAUGUUGUUGAUGUUACUUAGUACAAGCAUCAUAUUUGUAGUUGAAGUCGCACUUGCCAGCAUAGUUCUUCCUUAAAAUGUUGCUUUCUUAUGUUAAGGUUCUCCAUUUUUCUGUAGAAUGCAAAUCCUGGGGCUAGAAUUAGUGUGAAACUAGUCUCUGAGGCUGGUGUGGGAGUUGUCGCAAGUGGUGUUGUUAAAGGACAUGCAGACCAUAUUCUCAUCUCUGGGCAUGAUGGAGGCACAGGGGCUUCUAGAUGGACAGGAAUUAAACAUGCUGGACUUCCUUGGGAGCUUGGAUUGGCUGAGACACAUCAGACUCUAGUGGCAAAUGGGCUCCGUGCCCGAGUUGUCCUUCAGACAGAUGGACAAUUGAAAAUUGGUAGAGAUGUUGUCAUUGCUUGUUUACUUGGGGCAGAGGAAUUUGGAUUUAGCACAGCUCCACUAAUCGUACUUGGUUGCCUUUUGAUGAGGCAAUGUCAUACUAAUACCUGUCCUGUUGGUAUUGCUACACAAGAUCCAAUUCUCAGAGAAAAAUUUGCUGGAAAGCCAGAGCAUAUCAUAAACUUCUUCUUCAUGCUUGCUGAGGAGGUACGAGAAAUUAUGUCUCAGCUUGGUUUCCGUACUAUCAAUGAAAUGGUUGGGCGAUCAGAUAUGCUUGAGGUUGAUUCAGAUGUACUGAAAGGCAACGAGAAACUUCAGAACAUUGAUCUAUCACUGAUCUUGAAACCAGCUGCUGAGAUUAGCCCCGAGGCUGUUCAAUAUUGCGUUGAGAAACAAGACCAUGGCCUUGAUAUGGCAUUAGAUAACAAACUCAUAGCAUCCUCAAGAGCUGCCCUUGAAAAAAGAUUUCGUGUUUUCAUUGAGGCACCAGUCAAGAACACUGAUAGAGCUGUUGGCACUAUGCUCAGCCAUGAAGUGACAAAACUGUUUCGAAUGCCUGGACUGCCUCCAGACACCAUCCGUGUUAAACUCAAUGGAAGUGCCGGUCAAAGUUUUGGUGCCUUUCUCUGUCCUGGAGUCACUCUUGAGCUUGAAGGAGACAGCAAUGAUUAUGUUGGUAAAGGAUUAUCUGGUGGGAAGAUUAUUGUUUACCCUCCCAAAAACAGCCGAUUUAUCCCGCAGGACAAUAUUGUUAUUGGUAAUGUGGCUCUAUAUGGUUCUACCAAAGGAGAAGCAUAUUUUAAUGGCAUGGCAGCUGAAAGGUUUUGUGUCCGCAAUUCAGGUGCACAAGCAGUUGUUGAAGGAAUUGGCGAUCAUGGAUGUGAAUACAUGACAGGAGGCACUGUUGUUAUUCUGGGAAAAACUGGUAGAAACUUUGCCGCUGGCAUGAGUGGCGGCAUUGCUUAUAUUUAUGAUGUGGAUGGGAUGUUCAGUACCCGUUGCAAUCAUGAGUUAGUUGACCUGUAUAGUGUAGAUGAAGAGGAUGACAUUACAACAUUAAGGGUGAUGAUAGAACAGCAUCGACUCAACACAGAAAGUGUUUUGGCCAAAUAUAUACUUUCUAAUUUCGAGGAUAUUCUUCCAAAAUUUGUAAAAGUAUUUCCAAGAGAUUACAGGCGGGUUUUGGAGAAUAUGAAGGCAGAAAAGGUUGCCAAAGAAGCAGAGCAAAAAAGGAGAAAAAAGGGGUGGGAUAAGAAGGCAGGUGAAAUGAUUAAAGCUCCAAAUGGUGUUUCAGUAAUUACAAAGGUAAACCUGGUUUAAAUAGAAAUUAUUUCAUUAUAUGUAUUGUAACACCUAAAUUUGCUGUUGGAAUUGGAAGUUAAUUUUUCCUUCUGAAAAAUAUUGAUUGACUUCUGAUCAUUUUGGUAUGCAGGAAGUACAGAACAAAAAGUCAUCUAGCCGACCAACACAAGUUCUCAAUGCUGAAAAACCUCGAGGUUUUGUAAAAUAUGAGCGAGAGGGGAUCUCUUACAGACAUGAAAAUGAGCGUAUUAAGGAUUGGGAUGAAGUUAUAAAUGAAUUGGUUUGUGGGCCACUGAUAAACACACAAUCUGCUAGGUGCAUGGGUUGUGGCACGCCUUUCUGUCAUCAGGUGAUACUUAAAAUUUCAAGUUCUGCUCUUUUUAAUGAAAUCUAUUAUAUUUCAAGCCUUUUGUUUAGGUCUGUAAAAUUGUAUGGUUUUUUCAUUGACUUUAUUAUUGAUCUAAAGGAGUCCACAUACAUGUGCAGUAUACAUGGGUUAGCUCCGCAUUCCGAAUAGAAUUUAAUAAAUGUGCUACUCUGAAAAUAUAAUGCAGAAAUGAAGAUAUUACUAAAACCAACAACCAAAGUGUGCUGUCUAGGGUUUGUCACAGGCAUAUUUUUCGAUCAUUAGCCCAGAUAGUUAUCUAUUGUUGCUGUAAAGCUUGCUUUCCAUUGUGGUAGCUUAAAUUAAUUAUCAUAUCCUCUUUGCUAUCAAAUUUUCAGUAUUUUAAAGCUGUUAUCUAUGCUGACAUAAAAAGAACCAGUAAUAUUGUCUUGGUAAAUUUACACAAGUUUGUGUACACAUUGACAUCAAACAGUCAAGAUUCAUGAAGGGGGUGUUUGGUUUGUGUAAUAAAGUGGUCCACCAUCAUAUCACUCUUUAGUUUUUUUGGUUGGUUUCUGGGAUAGAAUGAGUUGAUACAUCGCCACCUCAUUCCCCACAGGUUAAUAAUCAGUACUAGUACAAGGAAUAUGGUGUUUCCACCAAAUUUAAGGAACAGACUCAUGAUGCACCACCCCUAUCUAGAAUGGGUUGAUUUCUCAAACCAAACAUCCCAUAAAUGUCUUGCCAGUAAUUAUUACAUAUCUAGGUGACUAGGUCUCAAUUAACCCUAAUACCUAAGCUACAAGUUAAUUGCCUAACCAAACCAUUUAAUUGCAUUGUUCUUCAGUAAAUAAUAGUGAUAUUGAUUCAUAUACUUUUCAAAUUUAUUACAAUUUGAAUUUCUUAUGCUUGCUGGUUGGUAUGAAAAUAUUAAUAUUUUGGUUGUAAUUUUCUUGAAUCAAAAUUCUACAGGAAAAUUUUGGUGCUGGGUGUCCUCUUGGAAAUAAGAUCCCUGAAUUCAAUGAAUUAGUUUAUCAGAACAGAUGGCGUGAAGCGUUAUAUCGCCUACUUGAGACCAACAAUUUUCCUGAGUUCACUGGACGAGUUUGCCCAGCCCCUUGUGAGGGUUCAUGUGUGCUUGGCAUUAUAGAGAAUCCAGUAUCUAUAAAAAGCAUAGAGUGUGCCAUCAUAGACAAGGGCUUCAAAGAGGGCUGGAUGGUACCAUGCCCUCCCCUUCAUAGAACAGGGUAUGCUUUUGUUGUCAUCUUUGGCUUGCUUUGCUACUGCAUGAAUGAAAGCAUGCCAUAAUAGUUGCAUUGAAACGAUUUAAUAUGCAGGAUGACAGUUGCUAUAAUUGGAAGUGGACCGGCUGGUUUAGCUGCUGCAGAUCAACUGAACAAGAUGGGCCAUUAUGUAGUUGUGUUUGAACGUGAUGAUCGUAUUGGAGGGCUGAUGAUGUAUGGGGUUCCAAACAUGAAGGCAGACAAAGCUACAAUCGUUCAGCGCCGUGUUGAUUUAAUGGAUAAGGAGGGAGUUAAAUUCAUUGUGAAUGCCCAUGUUGGAACUGAUCCUCGGUACUCUAUUGAGCGGCUCCAAGCUGAGAAUGAUGCAGUUAUUUUGGCUUGUGGUGCUACUAGGCCGAGGUGAUUCAAUAACACUUAAAAAUGAGUUCAAAAUGCCUAACAUCAUCCUUAGCACCAAUAUGACAAUAAUAUAAGCUCUAAACUAUAUGGUUAUGAUGUUAAAUAGGAGUAUAAUUAUAAAUUGUAUGAAUUUGAGAAUUUGCUAACACCUAGAGCAUUAUCCUUGAACAGAGAUCUCUCUAUCCCUGGACGUGAACUGUCAGGCAUCCAUUUUGCUAUGGAUUUUCUUCAUGCCAAUACCAAAAGUUUACUUGACAGCAAUUUAGAGGAUGGUAAGUACAUAUCUGCUAAAGGGAAAAAGGUAGUCGUAAUUGGUGGUGGUGACACAGGUACAGAUUGUAUUGGGACAGCCAUCAGACAUGAUUGCAGCAACCUUGUAAACCUUGAACUUCUACCAGAACCGUCUAAAGAGAGGGCCCCUGACAAUCCGUGGCCUCAGGUUUGGACACUCAUCAAGAAAAAUGAUAGCAUCUUUAUUUCCUUUCCUAUCUAAAUUAAUUAGUAAAUAAAACUAUGAAUUGUAAGCAUAUCAUUUCCUUCGAUUCCAUUGGCAAUAUUAUGCUGUGAUUCAUUCUCAUUGUGGCGCUUCUAUAUUUGCAUUCAGUGGCCGAGGAUAUUCCGAAUAGACUAUGGGCACCAAGAAGCAGUCAGCAAGUUUGGAAAAGACCCAAGAACUUACCAAAUCCUCACGAAACGUUUUAUCGGAGAUGAAAAUGGAAAAGUGAGGGCCCUUGAGGUAGUACGCGUUGAGUGGAGCAAAGUGGACGGAAGAUUUCAGUCCAAGGAGAUAGAAGGUUCACAAGAAAUCAUUGAGGCAGAUCUAGUCCUCUUAGCUAUGGGGUUCCUAGGUCCUGAGGCGGUUAGUGUUCCAACCUCUUUCCCCUAGAAGAUUUUAGUGUGAUACUAGUGUUAGUCUAGGUAUUUGUUUUUUUUUUGGGUUAACUGACAUAAUAGUAAGCGCAAACUGCAGGAUAUUGCCAAGAAACUGGGUUUAGAGCAAGACAGCCGAUCAAAUUUCAAAGCUGAGUUCGGAAACUUCGCGACUAACGUGGAAGGUGUGUUUGCUGCCGGGGACUGCAGGCGUGGGCAAUCACUGGUUGUUUGGGCAAUUGCAGAGGGGAGGGAAGCUGCAGCAGCCGUUGACAAAUACCUGACCAGAGAAAAAACGAAUGCUGAUGAGGACGUUGCCGGCCCAAGUUCAAGUGGAUGCCUGGUUCAACCCGUUGCGGCAUAAGCAAAGAAAGCAUUUCUGUAAUAAUAGCUCUUUGGUAGGUAGAUUGUUUUACCCCUUUUUCAUGCUGAACUCUUUGUAGCUCUAAAAGGAUUAAGGAAAGGGCUCAUUUAGCAGAAACAGAGAGCCCGUGUGUUGCAGGUAAAGCAGUAGGAAACCUUUUUUUUUUGGGUGACACGGUUGUUGUUCUUGUUCUCUUCCCGUGAAGAAAUACCGGGCUUGUAGGUUUAGGAAAAUGUAUAGCUGAUUCAGAUGGAAAGCUUAUGACCAAUUGUUUAUAAAAAAACUAUACUCGCUUUUGUCUUCUUUUUUUUUUCGGUGCAUGCGUGAACAUGCCCUUGUACAUGUGUGGAUCUGUUGUGCUCUGUAUUAUAGGGCUUCUCUAAUGCUUCAGCUUAGCAUUAGCCCCAUCCUUUAUGUCUGCAUCUGAUAUCCAUAUCACACCGUCAGAGACUCAGAGUGUCUUCCAGAUGUAACAAUAACAAGCGAUUCAUCUAACAAAAGGCUAUAUAUCACAUAGAUAGACUUUAUUAAAUGAUAUAAUUUUUCAAAAAACCAUAAUUCCAAUUCUCAUGUUAUCUCACCGUGAGGCAGCUCAGUGGGCACCAAAUCCUAGCCGCCGCCGUCCAGCCCCGGGCCAAACUUACAUUAAUCAAAGGAAGAAUGCGCCGGCAGUGGCUGCUGGGGGAGUGGGAGGUGAGUCGCACGCAGCAUGGCCGGUGAGGGCGCCAAAGCCCAGAGGCUGGAGACUGGGCGUCGUGGGCGAGGCGGCGGCCCGGCGACGGCGCGAGAUGCCGAGAUCCCUGGCGACUGGCGGAGUAGCGGUGGGAAGUUGGAACCGCGGACUGCUGUCUAACUUAUCAUACUUUAACCAGCUUUUAUCUAGCUUUUAUGUUUAAAAU